rnacentral:misc_RNA from 1 species
AACGCACAUUGCGCUCCCUGGUAUUCCUAGGAGCAUGCCUGUCUGAGCGUCAGUACACACCCUCCCUUCGGCGUUUCUUCCCCUCGCGGGGCUUGGAGGCCGAUCGGGUCCUGAGGGGAGCGGCCCAACCGUCGCCCCCUCUAAAGUGGAAAGCCAGCGGCCCGCCUGCCCAUGAAAGACGUAGUAAACUCUGCCUCGUCCGCGAAAGGGUACAAGGUUCGGCGCCCGCCUCAAGCACCUUCUCAAGGCUUGACCUCAGAUCAGACAAGAAUACCCGCUGAACUUAA